AUGGAGUGCGCGAAUCUAUACCAAAAACGUAAACAAACUUUAAGCUUACACCUUUCGAACCUCUUCAUGGCCCUGCACUACUCUCCGUCUUCUCGUUCUCCGAACUGUAACUUACAACUCCUCCACGUCUUCCGACGACACCGUCGCGUCCACUCCGCACACAGAAACUUCAUCUCCGGAAUCGGAGCUUUCGCUGAGAAUAUUGCAACGCUACUCUUUCAUGGAUCCAAAGCUCCAG